rnacentral:rRNA from 1 species
CCGUGAAGGUUGGGUUAAGUCCCGCAACGAGCGCAACCCCUAUUGCUAGUUGCCAUCACAUAAUGGUGGGCACUCUAAUGAGACUGCCCGGGUCAACCGGGAGGAAGGUGGGGACGACGUCAAGUCAUCAUGGCCCUUACGUCCAGGGCUACACACGUACUACAAUGGUGGAUACAGAGGGUCGCGAAGCCGCGAGGUCGAGCCAAUCCCAGAAAAUCCAUCCCAGUCCGGAUCGCAGUCUGCAACUCGACUGUGUGAAGUUGGUAUCGCUAGUAAUCCCAGAUCAGCAUGCUGGGGUGAAUACGUUCCCGGGCCUUGUACACACCGCCCGUCACACCACGAAAGCUGGUUCUACCCAAAAUCGACGGACUAACCUUCGGGAGGUAGUCGCCUACGGUAGGGCUGGUAAUUGGGGUGAAUUCGUAACAAGGUACCA